UUCACUAGUGAUUUUGGAGGGCAAGUCUGGUGCCAGCAGCCGCGGUAAUUCCAGCUCCAAUAGCGUAUAUUAAAGUUGCUGCAGUUAAAAAGCUCGUAGUUGAAUUUCGGGACCGAUAUAUCGGUCGUGCCUCGGUACGUACUGGUAUUUUCGGUUUCUCCCUUCUGACGAACCUUGAUGUCAUUAAUUUGGUGUCUUGGGAAAUCAGGACUGUUACUUUGAAAAAAUUAGAGUGUUUAAAGCAGGCUCACGCUUGAAUACAUUAGCAUGGAAUAAUGAAAUAGGACGUUUGAUUCUAUUUUGUUGGUUUCUAGGAUCGACGUAAUGAUUAAUAGGGAUAGUUGGGGGCAUUAGUAUUCAAUUGUCAGAGGUGAAAUUCUUGGAUUUAUUGAAGACUAACUACUGCGAAAGCAUUUGCCAAGGAUGUUUUCAUUAAUCAAGAACGAAAGUUAGGGGAUCGAAGACGAUCAGAUACCGUCGUAGUCUUAACCAUAAACUAUGCCGACUAGGGAUCGGAUGAUGUUAAUUUUUUAAUGACUCAUUCGGCGCCUUACGGGAAACA
rnacentral:rRNA from 1 species